GCGGUCCUUUAAGUCUGAUGUGAAAGCCCACGGCUCAACCGUGGAGGGUCAUUGGAAACUGGGGGACUUGAGUGCAGAAGAGGAAAGCGGAAUUCCACGUGUAGCGGUGAAAUGCGUAGAGAUGUGGAGGAACACCAGUGGCGAAGGCGGCUUUCUGGUCUGUAACUGACGCUGAGGCGCGAAAGCGUGGGGAGCAAACAGGAUUAGAUACCCUGGUAGUCCACGCCGUAAACGAUGAGUGCUAAGUGUUAGAGGGUUUCCGCCCUUUAGUGCUGCAGCUAACGCAUUAAGCACUCCGCCUGGGGAGUACGGCCGCAAGGCUG
rnacentral:rRNA from 1 species